CCUGUACAUUAAUUUACAAUAUACUAAGAUAUAUUAAAUAUAUACAUUUUUAAUGACAUUAGAAAGCGACUAGGGGUUAACCCACCAGGAAAGCCCUACCAGCAUGGUGGAACUCUGACUGUGGGGACUUACAACAAAGCUGUCACUGGUAUGCAGCAGUCUCUAUGGCGGAUACUUGUACAGAACAUGUUGUGUGGGGGUCACAAAAUAGUAGACAUCAGACCAGUAGGGGAUUUCAAAGUGGACAACAUAGGAAGAGACCAUAGCAGGAACAAGGUGGGCAAGUGGAUCUCUUCAGUAUACAGUACACAAGACAAGACAAGAAGUAGAUCACAGCAUGGAAUAAGGUUGGUUUAACACUGCUGCCAUUGUUUCUGCUGCAACCAAAGCCAUGAAUACAAUGUAAAAUGGGCCUCAUCAAUUCAUAUACUUUUUCUGAUCUCAAGGAUAAAACCAUCAGCGAACUAAGGUUCAUUAUAUUCAGUUGUAAUGUUAAAACUACUUUAUCUAAAUCUUGUUUUAAGUUAUACAAAAUGU